ensembl:lncRNA
UGCACGCAAGUGUGUGCAAGGCGGUAUUGAAUGAAUCACCAACUGUCACCUCAACAUUUUCUCUCAAACUGUGUGCACCUACAUUGUAAACUUUCAUUCAUAGGCUAGGUUGUAGCAACCUCAUGAUGGGUACAGGGAACAUUCUAGCACCACGUAGUAGUCUAAACCUAUUGAUGUUACAUUGAACUGGGUGAAUGGAAUAUGAAUGGCACUCAUCCAGUAUGCUCUUAUAGAAAUAAGGCUAUGCUCAUAAAAACAAAUGUCUGUCCUCCCACACCUUAAAUGGCACCAACUGCCACUGUUCUACAGUAAUAUCCUCAGUGCUGAAAUUAUCCUUAGGCACAUGUAUAUAAUGAGCUUAUACCUUCCCCAAUAUCUUACCCUAACCACUAGAAAGGGAAACACAAAACUAGGGGUAACUUCAUAUCCUCAAAGUGUUGGGGAGGCAGGUAGCCUAGUGGUUAGAGGGUUGGGGAGGCAGGUAGCCUAGUGGUUAGAGUGUUGGGGAGGCAGGUAGCCUAGUGGUUAGAGGGUUGGGGAGGCAGGUAGCCUAGUGGUUAGAGUGUUGGGCCAGAUCGAAUCCCUGAGCUGAUGAGAUAAAAAUCUGUUGUUCUAACCCUGAACAAGGUAGUUAACCUGCUGUUCCUAGGCUUUCAUUGUAAAUACGAAUGUGUUCUUAACCGACUUGCCUACUUAAAUAAAAGGUUACAAAUAUAUAUAAAAAUAAUAACGUACAUAUGCAAGUGAGAGAUUUUAAAUGAGCAUGUUAAUGUGUAUAAGAAAAGGGAUACUAUGGACUCUUCUUUGGAUGGUGUUUUUACCAGACAUGAGAACAGUCUUAAUAGUCUGUGAAUAUACAGCCACAGGUCAUGAUCAGUUGUGGAAUGUAUAAGCAUCAGCCGGAUGGGAUUAUUUCUCCUGGGAUUAUUUCAUAUGAUUAGGAGUGAGGGGGUUAUAGCUUCUGGUUGGAAAUGUGCAGUAAUAUUACCUGUUGUAAAGCUGACCUCUAACUUCAUGACAAAUCUUUCCAGUCUCCUGAGGGUGAAUAGGUUUUGUCAUGCCCUCUUCACGGCUGUCUUGGUGUGAUUGGACCAUGUUAGUUUGUUGGUGAUGUGGACACCAAGGAACUUGAAACUCUCAACCUGCUCCACUGCAGCCAUGUCGAUGAGAAUGGGGGCGUGCUCGGUCCUCUUUUUCCAGUAGUCCACAAUCAUCUCCUUAGUCUUGAUCACAUUGAAGGGGAGGUUGUUGUCCUGGAACCACACGGCCAGGUCUCUGACCAUGAUUGGGAAGCCCAUAGGGCGGCGUACAAUUGGCCCAGCGUUGUCCGGGUUUUGGCCGGUGUAGGCCGUCAUUGUAAAUAAGAAUGUGUUCUUAACUGACUUGCCUAGUUAAAUAAAGGUUAAAUAAAAUAAAAUAAAAACUAAGCAUGACAAGCCCCAAUGUGCACAGGCAAGUUCAAUGACAGAUGGGUGGAGAUUUAGCUUUUUAUGUAAUAAACGUCUGCCAAUAACCAACCAAUGUCUUUCUCCCUGAAGUUUGAGUACAGUGGCGAGCUGAAGAUACAGCACUGUUUCCACCCCUGAAUUAGCUCACCAGUCCAGACAGUUUACCAAGUAUUCAUUUGUUGCUGAUUCACAUGCUGUAUGGAAUGUCAGUCCCCUGACCCAUAAGGUCAGAUGAAUGAUAAUAUGUGGAGUGUGUGAACCUUCUCACAGUGUACACAUUUCUCAGCCCUAUAAUUAACUUUUACCCAAACAACACAGACAAUUUGCUUGAUGUGGCCUUUACGAGGCCUUUGAACUACGAGCUGACCCAUGGCGACCCUGCGUCUGAUGCCAAAAUACACAGGCAGCUUAUUGUGAAGGGAUAUAAAUAAUGUUGCUGAGUAAGGAGAAUGGAACUAGCAGUCUCUCUGGUCACCCAAAUGCCAUCUGUGUGGAUGAAUCAUCAUCAGUGCUAUGUAAAAGUGUACUGUACUAUGUGUCAUCAAGCAACACGUAACAAGCCGUGUUAUGGUGAUGAAUUAUAUUGUUCUUUUUCUUAAUGAUGAGGACACAAAAGUGGGUUGUGCUCUCUUGGGACAUUCAUUGGUUUCUUGUAUUGGCUUGUGUACAGAGAGUUAAGGACAGUCACCACUGUAGUUACAGACUGUGUUAAGGACAGUCACCACUGUAGUUAUAGACUGGGUUAAGGACAGUCACGACUGUAGUUACAGACUGGGUUAAGGACAGUCACCACUGUAGUUACAGACUGAGUUAAGGACAGUCACUACUGUAGUUACAUUAAGGACAGUCACUAAUAAACACAAUUUGCAGUCAUACAUGACUCUGUGUGUGUGUGUGUGUGUGUGUGUG